AUUGAACGCUGGCGGCAGGCCUAACACAUGCAAGUCGAACGGCAGCACAGGGGAGCUUGCUCCCUGGGUGGCGAGUGGCGGACGGGUGAGGAAUACAUCGGAAUCUACCCUUUCGUGGGGGAUAACGUAGGGAAACUUACGCUAAUACCGCAUACGAUCUGAGGAUGAAAGCAGGGGACCGCAAGGCCUUGCGCGAUUGGAUGAGCCGAUGUCCGAUUAGCUAGUUGGCGGGGUAAAGGCCCACCAAGGCGACGAUCGGUAGCUGGUCUGAGAGGAUGAUCAGCCACACUGGAACUGAGACACGGUCCAGACUCCUACGGGAGGCAGCAGUGGGGAAUAUUGGACAAUGGGCGCAAGCCUGAUCCAGCCAUGCCGCGUGUGUGAAGAAGGCCUUCGGGUUGUAAAGCACUUUUGUUGGGGAAGAAAACCUGUCGGCUAAUACCCGGCUGGGAUGACGGUACCCAAAGAAUAAGCACUGGCUAACUUCGUGCCAGCCGCCGCAGUAAUAC
rnacentral:rRNA from 1 species